rnacentral:rRNA from 1 species
AUUGAACGCUGGCGGCAGGCCUAACACAUGCAAGUCGAACGGUAACAGGAAGAAGCUUGCUUCUUUGCUGACGAGUGGCGGACGGGUGAGUAAUGUCUGGGAAACUGCCUGAUGGAGGGGGAUAACUACUGGAAACGGUAGCUAAUACCGCAUAACGUCGCAAGACCAAAGAGGGGGACCUUCGGGCCUCUUGCCAUCGGAUGUGCCCAGAUGGGAUUAGCUAGUAGGUGGGGUAACGGCUCACCUAGGCGACGAUCCCUAGCUGGUCUGAGAGGAUGACCAGCCACACUGGAACUGAGACACGGUCCAGCCUCCUACGGGAGGCAGCAGUGGGGAAUAUUGCACAAUGGGCGCAAGCCUGAUGCAGCCAUGCCGCGUGUAUGAAGAAGGCCUUCGGGUUGUAAAGUACUUUCAGCGGGGAGGAAGGGAGUAAAGUUAAUACCUUGGCUCAUUGACGUUACCCGCAGAAGAAGCACCGGCUAACUCCGUG